rnacentral:rRNA from 1 species
AUACGGAGGGUGCAAGCGUUAAUCGGAAUUACUGGGCGUAAAGCGUACGUAGGCGGUCCGUUAAGUUAGAUGAGAAAGCCCCGGGCUUAACCUGGGAACUGCAUUUAAAACUGGCGGACUAGAGUUGAGUAGAGGGGAGUGGAAUUUCAGGUGUAGCGGUGAAAUGCGUAGAGAUCUGAAGGAACACCAGUGGUGAAGGCGACUCCCUGGACUCGAACUGACGCUGAGGUACGAAAGCGUGGGUAGCAAACGGGAUUAGAAACCCCAGUAGUCC